rnacentral:lncRNA from 1 species
CGCGUAACUCCCAUGGAGCUCUCAGAUGAGAGGCUUCCCAAAACCCGAAGGAAGGAUUGAAGAAGGUAUGGCUCAGGCUUGUUACCAAGGAAAAGAGCCCCAUGAGACCAUCCAGUUAAACUUACUGGCUGCCGAGAGUGCUGUAGUAAGUCUGGAAUGGAGGCAGAAAGACAGAGAAACAAUGCUAACCAUCCAGCAUUACAUGCAGAGAAGAUGGGUUUCCUGGUGUGCUCCUUGUGAAUAAACAGCUCCGGAACUUUCCUCUGUUUGCCCCCUGUGCUUCUUGGCUGGUGUUAACUAAAAGACUUGGCUUCUCCCAUUAUGCCUUUCUGACAUGGCACUCUACCUCAUCAUCAGCUUAGAAGCAAUGGAGUCAGAGGACCAUGGGCUGGAGACUCUGAAAUGGAAUUGAACCACGUGUAUUGUCUGAGCAUGAAUCAGCACGGUGACACUUAAUGACAACUCUUCAACUUCAGUCCUGAUUGAUCAGCUCAACAGAACAGUCAACCCCAAUCAGAGGUGCAGCCUGGCUGAACAGGAGCAGAAAUAUCCAGUAGUUCAGAAGAAGCCAUGAAGUAUAGAAGGCUCCUGUUUCCUUCCAUCUCUCUGGGUUCUCAGGGCCAGCAGCCACACUGGAUCUCUAUUUACCCUUCUUCUCCCAUGGCAGUUUUCUGCCUAGGGUAAACCGGAUGGACUGUGAAUGUCUCCCAUCUUGCCUGGUUUUGACUAAACUGUAUUAUUCACUUAACGGAAUUGUGACAAAGAAUAAGAAUCCGAACACAUGGGGACCACAGAGGCUGUUAUGUUUAUUGUGCAGAAAGUCAGUGAUAAUCCACUAGAGAAGUAUUCCCACAAGCAAGCCAUCAAAGUACAAUCACAGACAGCGAUACUACACCAGGAACAGAGAACAAAGUGAGAGGGCGCGCAAACAAACAGGGAGAG